GAAAAAGCUUUAAGAUGGAAUCUCUAGGUCAUGAGUGCCAGAAACUGUGGUUUUGAUCUGAAGAUCAACGAUACAGUGACAUCUUACAGAUACUGUCACUGAUCUGCUAGCUCACCUUGUUACAUCAACCCAGACAUUCAACUUUCCAGCUCCUGUCAAAUCUUCUCCAAGUUCUGCCCCAGGUUCAUGGACAGCUCCAUGGUGAAAGGUGCUACUUUCUCUUGGUGAUCUUACAGUGUUGAGAUUGAAGGGAACGAGAGACAGGCAUUGGUUCUACUUCGCCUGUGGGUCCAGUUUGUCCCCACCAGU
rnacentral:lncRNA from 1 species